UGCAGUUUACAAAAGCUCCGUAAGUCCUAAUAGGUAUAGGGAAGUUGCGGUGUGGGUGCUUGGUUGGUUUUGCCGACUCAACAAUACUCGCUCCGCUUCCCGCYUGKUUUUCUCUCUUUKCUARAAGGCAAAUGUUUCACUGUAAGUAAAACAACUCGCUCAACAGCAAGGUUAUCUUGAUAUGAAUUAGUAUGGGAUGAUGAGAUAGGCUCGGUCCGUAUUUUGUUGGUUUUAGUGGUCUGAGAAUGAUGAAGAGGGACAAUUGGGGGUAUUCGUAUUUACAUGUCAGAGGUGGAAUUCUUGGAUUUUGGAAAGACGAACUAAUGCGAAAGCAUCUACCAAAGAUGUUUUCAUUGAUCAAGAACGAAAGUUUGGGGAUCGAAGAUGAUUAGAUACCAUCGUAGUCUAAACCAUAAACUAUGCCGACUUGCGAUUGUUUUGUGUCAUUUAAUGAGCAGAGCAGCAGCACAUGAGAAAUCAAAGUCUUUGGGUUCCGGGGGGAGUAUGGUCGCAAGGCUGAAAC
rnacentral:rRNA from 1 species